UACGGAGGGUGCCAGCGUUGUCCGGAUUUAUUGGGUUUAAAGGGUGCGUAGGCGGCCCGUUAAGUCCGUGGUGAAAGCCAACAGCUCAACUGUUGAACUGCCAUGGAUACUGACGGGCUUGAGUACAGACGAGGUAGGCGGAAUGGAUGCUGUAGCGGUGAAAUGCAUAGAUAGCAUCCAGAACCCCGAUUGCGUAGGCAGCUUACUAGGCUGUAACUGACGCUGAGGCACGAAAGCGUGGGGAGCGAACAGG
rnacentral:rRNA from 1 species